rnacentral:rRNA from 1 species
UACGUAGGCAGCAAGCGUUGUUCGGAGUUACUGGGCGUAAAGGGCUCGUAGGCGGCCAACUAAGUCAGACGUGAAAUCCCUCGGCUUAACCGGGGAACUGCGUCUGAUACUGGAUGGCUUGAGUUCGGGAGAGGGAUGCGGAAUUCCAGGUGUAGCGGUGAAAUGCGUAGAUAUCUGGAGGAACACCGGUGGCGAAGGCGGGUCUCUGGGCCGAUACUGACGCUGAGGAGCGAAAGCGUGGGGAGCGAACAGG